rnacentral:tRNA from 1 species
AGUUCCGAAAAUCGAACCCGGGCCUUCUGGGUGAAAGCCAAAUAUCCAAGCCACUAGAUCC